rnacentral:miRNA from 8 species
CGGCUCUUUAUCUGGUAGACUUG